GACGAACGCUGGCGGCGUGCUUAACACAUGCAAGUCGAGCGGUGCGGCGAACGGGUGAGUAACGCGUGAGUAACUGCCCCCCUCCCUGGGGUAACAGUUGGAAACGGCUGCCAAUACCGGAUAGUGGUGGAUGACUAGAGUCCUAUCAGCUUGGUGGGGGGGUAGUGGCCAACCAAGGCGACGAAUGGUAGCCGGCCUGAGAGGGCGACCGGCCACAUUGGUCUUAGAUACGGGCCAAACUCCAACGGGGGGCAGCAGUGGGGAAUAUUGCACAAUGAGGGAAACCCUGAUGCAGCAACGCCGCGUGCGUGAUGACGGCCUUCGGGUUGUAAACCGCUUUCAGCCAUGACGCGGUAGUGGCAGAAGAAGCACCGGCUAACUACGUGCCAGCAGCCGCGGUAAUAC
rnacentral:rRNA from 1 species